AGUGAACGCUGGCGGCAGGCCUAACACAUGCAAGUCGAGCGGCAGCGCGGGGGCAACCCUGGAGGCGAGCGGCGGACGGGUGAGGAAUUCGUCGGAAUCUGCCUUUUUGUGGGGGAUAACGUAGGGAAACUUACGCUAAUACCGCAUACGUCCUACGGGAGAAAGUGGGGGACCGCAAUGCCUCACGCGGAAAGAUGAGCCGACGACCGAUUAGCUAGUUGGUGGGGUAAAGGCCCACCAAGGCGACGAUCGGUAGCUGGUCUGAGAGGAUGAUCAGCCACACUAGAACUGAGACACGGCCCAGACUCCUACGGGAGGCAGCAGUGGGGAAUAUUGGACAAUGGGCGCAAGCCUGAUCCAGCCAUGCCGCGUGUGUGAAGAAGGCAUUCGGGUUGUAAAGCACUUUUGUCAGGAAAGAAAUCCCUGGAGCUAAUACCUUCGGGGGAUGACGGUACCGGAAGAAUAAGCACCGGCUAACUUCGUG
rnacentral:rRNA from 1 species